CCUACGGGGCGCAGCAGUGGGGAAUAUUGCACAAUGGGGGAAACCCUGAUGCAGCGACGCCGCGUGAGUGAAGAAGUAUUUCGGUAUGUAAAGCUCUAUCAGCAGGGAAGAAAAUGAUGGUACCUGUUUAAGAAGCCCCGGCUAACUACGUGCCAGCAGCCGCGGUACUACGUAGGGGGCAAGGCUUAUCCGGAUUUACUGGGUGUAAAGGGAGCGUAGACGGCAGGACAAGUCUGGGGUGAAAAGCCGGGGCUUAACCCCGGAACUGCUUUGGAAACUGUGCAGCUAGAGUGGAGGAGAGGUAAGUGGAAUGCCUGGUGUAGCGGUGAAAUGCGUAGAUAUUAGGAGGAACACCAGUGGCGAAGGCGGCUUACUGGACUGUAACUGACGUUGAGGCUCGAAAGCGUGGGGAGCAAACAGGAUUAGAUACCCGGGUAGUC
rnacentral:rRNA from 1 species